GCGUGAUUAGCUCAGUGGGAGAGCGCUUCCCUGACACGGAAGAGGUCACUGGUUCAAUCCCAGUAUCGCGCA
rnacentral:tRNA from 1 species